AGUAAUCUUGAGUUGGGGUGGUCAUUUCUUGCAACCUGUGAACCCGUAUCAAUACAUUAAUACUAAGUCAAGUCUACACAUUAGGGUUCACUCUUGUAUACUACAUUCUAUAGGCUUCUGGUAAGUAUAUAAUGGCAUGCAUUCACCAAUACGGUGACCUAAAGAAUAAUAGUUCUUCUGUGCAAUCCAUUUCUUCAUCCCUCCCUCAUACCCGCCCCCUUAUUCCUUGGCGACUUCUGAUCUUUUUACUGUCUCCAUAGUUUUAUCUUUCCCGGGAUAUCACAUAAUUGGAAUCAUAAAGUACCCUGCCUCUUCACAUUGGCUGCUGUCCCUUAGCAAUAUGCAUUUAAGGUUCCUCGAUGCCUUUUAAUGGCUUCGUGGCUCCUCAUUUAUUUAUUGUUUUAUUGCUUAAUAGUUCUUCUUUGUCCGGAUGGAUCACAGUUUGUUUAUCCAUUCACCUGCUGAAGGACAUCUUUGGUUGCUUCCAAGAUUUGGCGAUUACAAACAAAGCUUCUAACAGCAUCUGCGCGCAGGUUUUUAUGCGAACAUAAGUUUUCAGCUGAAGGAGCCCGAUUGCUGGAUCAUCGGGGAAGAAUAUAGUUAGCUUCUUUGAAGCACACACGUCACGUACACCCCGAUUCAGACACACAGCCUGAAAUCUAAAGCACACAACGCAAAUGGUCACAGGGGGUAAAGUGAUCUCUUCCGGAAGACUCUCCCCGGUAAGCGUAUCGCCCCCUUUACAAAAACGCCACAUAAGCUAAUUCCCGUCCUCCCUCUCCCUCUUAGACGUUUAAUUUCAAGUGCACGCUUGUAUGGAGCCCAUGUUACGCUUGCUGUUCUGUUCUAUUCAACUAGGUGUUGCUCGAAGGGAACAGAAAACAAUGACCACGGUACGGUGUCUACACCUUGGGAUCUUGAGGCUUCAAGCUCUUGUAUUAAGGGUGGCUGAGCCAGACGGCAAGGGGGCUGAAUCCCUCACGACGGGAUGGGACCACCAUUGCAGAGCAUGAGGUACUCAUUCCUGAUUAACGACCUCAGCAAGUGGGUAAUGAUUAUUCAUCGGCCUCUUUAGGAACUUUAAUCGUGUGGAGGACUUUCUAGACUUCAGAUGGACUACUCUAGAUAGAGGCAAAGAAACAGUAAUCAAGUAACAACCGUGUGAACUGGAGAAAACUAUUUAGCCUUUGAUGGCUUCAAACUCUUCUCAUCUGAAAACGGAAACAACCCCUCUCAAGGUUCUUGCGGAAGUGACUUGAGACGCCACGACAAGGCAUUUAAUACAAAGUAAGUGCUAGAUGAGUGACGUUACUUUUGUACACACGCAUUGUUUUUGAUUUCAAAAAAGGGGCCAACAUGUUCACUCUCUGCUCUUGACUGGCCUUGAAUAAAUGCAGGGAGAAAGGAAGUCCAGAGGUGAGAAUUAGGACCUGAUUUUAGAAAAGAUGUGAUGUCCAUGCUUUCCUGGGAGCUUAUAAAUGAGUAUUGUUGUGAGAGUAACUUCUCUGGGAUUCUUCUGAUUAAUCUGCCUUAUUAAUUCGUCUCCUUGUACCUUCGAAUUCUCUUAUUUUUAUAAUAUUGACGGCUCACUUGCCAAAAUACCUCAGAACCACUUUUAAGAGUUCCCAGUAGCUAAGAGAAAAUGCGUGCUUGAGGAUGCUCUUUCUGGGUUAUGAUUUUCUCAAGGCAGAGCGCCCAACAGGCCUUGCCUCCUGCCGUGCAUGAACAUUUCAUCC